UGGAUUAGGCAUGCAAGUCGAACGAAUGCCUUUGGGGGUAACUCUGAAGGCGGAAGUGGCGAAAGGGGCAGUAAUGCAUGGGUAACUUACCCUGGAGUCAGGCAUAGCCGUCCUAACGGACGGGUAAUUCUUGAUGGCCCAGCGAGAUGGCAUCAUCAUGCUGGUAAAGAAUUUCGCUCCGGGAGAGACCCAUGUCGUAUUAGCUAGUUGGCGGGGUAACGGCCCACCAAGGCUAAGAUGCGUAGCAGGUGUGAGAGCACGACCUGCGCCACUGGCACUGAGACACUGGCCAGACACCUACGGGUGGCUGCAGUCGAGGAUCUUCGUCAAUGGGCGAAAGCCUGAACGAGCGACGCCGCGUGCGCGAUGAAGGCCUUCGGGUUGUAAAGCGC
rnacentral:rRNA from 1 species